ACGAACGCUGGCGGCAGGCCUCACCCAUGCCAGUCGAGCGCGCCCUUCGGGGUGAGCGGCGGACGGGUGAGUAACGCGUGGGAACGUGCCCUUUUCUACGGAAUAGCCUCGGGAAACUGAGAGUAAUACCGUAUACGCCCUUUGGGGGAAAGAUUUAUCGGAAAAGGAUCGGCCCGCGUUGGAUUAGGUAGUUGGUGGGGUAAUGGCCUACCAAGCCGACGAUCCAUAGCUGGUUUGAGAGGAUGAUCAGCCACACUGGGACUGAGACACGGCCCAGACUCCUACGGGAGGCAGCAGUGGGGAAUCUUAGACAAUGGGGGCAACCCUGAUCUAGCCAUGCCGCGUGAGUGAUGAAGGCCUUAGGGUUGUAAAGCUCUUUCAGCUGGGAAGAUAAUGACGGUACCAGCAGAAGAAGCCCCGGCUAACUCCGUG
rnacentral:rRNA from 1 species